CUACGUGCCAGCAGCCGCGGUAAUACGGAGGAUACGAGCGUUAUCCGGAAUUAUUGGGUUUAAAGGGUGCGUAGGUGGCGUAUUAAGUCAGUGGUGAAAAGCUGCAGCUCAACUGUAGUCUUGCCGUUGAAACUGAUAUGCUAGAGAGGAGACGAGGUAUGCGGAAUGUGUGGUGUAGCGGUGAAAUGCAUAGAUAUCACACAGAACGCCGAUUGCGAAGGCAGCGUACCAGGCUCCGUCUGACACUGAAGCACGAAAGCGUGGGGAUCAAACAGGAUUAGAUACCCUGGUAGUCCACGCAGUAACGAUGAAUACUAGAUUUUUGCGAUAUAGUGUAAGAGUCUAAGCGAAAGCGAUAAGUAUUCCACCUGGGGAGUACGCCGGCAACGGUGAAACUCAAAGGAAUUGACGGGGGCCCGCACAAGCGGAGGAACAUGUGGUUUAAUUCGAUGAUACGCGAGGAACCUUACCCGGGAUUGAA
rnacentral:rRNA from 1 species